AAUCAACGCUGGCGGCGUGCCUCAGACAUGCAAGUCGAACGAGAAAGUCCCCUUCGGGGGAUAAGUAAAGUGGCGCACGGGUGAGUAACACGUAGGUAAUCUACCUUCGGGUGGGGAAUAACCCAGGGAAACUUGGGCUAACACCGCAUAAUGCAGCGGCACCACAUGGUGACAGUUGUUAAAGCGGGGGAUUUUCGGACCUCGCGCCUGAAGAGGAGCCUGCGGCGGAUUAGCUAGUUGGUAAGGAACGGCUUACCAAGGCAACGAUCCGUAGCCGGCCUGAGAGGGCGGUCGGCCACACUGACACUGACAUACGGGUCAGACUCCUACGGGAGGCAGCAGUCGGGAAUUUUGGGCAAUGGGCGAAAGCCUGACCCAGCAACGCCGCGUGAAGGGAUGAAAUCCCUCGGGAUGUAAACUUCGCAAGAAUGGGAAGAAUUAGCGAGCGCUAAUACCGCUCGUGAUGACGGUACCAUUUG
rnacentral:rRNA from 1 species